ensembl:lncRNA
CGCGAAGUCACCCACCGCGUCCCGCCCAUCCGGCCGGCCCACUUCCCCUUCGCGGAAGGAGCGGGCGACCAGCCCGCCGCAACCCCCGCGGCGCGCGCGAGGUGCGAAGCGCAGGGCGGGGAGCAGUCCCGCCCACCCCGAGAGCGCCCGCGGGAACGUUUCCCGCCUGCAGGCUGCGAGGCGCGGCUUCCCCCGCCCCUUGAACAAACCGUCAGCAGUAGAAGCGAAAGCGAGUCCCCGCCCCAAGGGAGCCCGCGCCGCCCCCGCGCUCUCACCUUUCAAACCUCCCCAACCUCCGCCUCCGCCUCCGCCCAGCUGUACAGUGGACACACUGCCUUGGUACCUUAGAGAGCCCUCGAACAGACCAGCCCCAGCACUUGAACAGAGCAUUCCUCUUCAGGGGACGAAAACCAUGUAAGUUAGAUUCUAGCUCUGUUAGUGGAAAGAAGAAAUACACGUCUAAGUGCUGAAAAGUCAGCUUUUAGAAUACUGACCAUGACUUUUUUAUUUCUGAAAAGAAUAUAGUUCACUCUAUAUUUACACUAUUAAGUCGAUACAAAGUAUUAAGAAUCUGACCAUCAUUUGUUUUCUAAUAGUUUCUAAUUUCUCAAGAGGCAGUCAUAUUUGAAAUGAGAUUUGAGUAAUGAAGAAAAGUCCAGUGUUUGAACAUUAUUCGUGUAGAUACAGUAAAGCCUUAAUGACUUUUUCUUCCAGGAUUUUAAUAUAAGGCCCUAUCCCAUAUCUCUAUAUGAGUUGAAUGCUUAUAUCUUUUUUUUUUUUUUAAUUAAUGGAGUUUUAGCUCGAAUAGAAACUCAGCAGGGGACAGCUGAACCACAACUGAACAGAAGCGGCUUUUUCACCAACUAUUUGUUUUGUCCAGCAGAGGGCACCGGAGCUCACACAUAAAUGGCGGCAGCAGCAGCAUUUAAAAUAUCUGUUUCAUUGCCUCGGUGAUUCUUAAUUAACACAAAGCAUCAGGGUUUCAUUGACACCAAUAAAAUGAGGUGACUGCGACCUUGAUUAAUAAAAUGUAAUCAUCUUGGAAAUAUCGGGAGUUAGAAACUUGUUAGAUAUUUCUUCUUGGUGAUUACAUUGGCCGGUAAUCAAUAAAAACAAAAUCUAAAUUGCAGAUUGCUCCAGUUCAAUCUCCGGGUUAUUAAAAACUUUAUUUCUUCUUAAAAAUAAAAUUGAAUAUACAUUUGUGACAGCUUAAGGAUUAGAGAGUAAGAUUAAAUAGCAUCUUUUAUUACUAUGUGAGGAGUAUUGAGUUGUCUGAUACUUCUCAAUAUCAAAUAAACAAGUUUCAGGCACAGGGGAAAGGAACGUUAGAAUGUUACUGAUAUGUUUUUUUUUUAAUUAAUGGAGUUUUAGCUCGAAUAGAAACUCAGCAGGGGACAGCUGAACCACAACUGAACAGAAGCGGCUUUUUCACCAACUAUUUGUUUUGUCCAGCAGAGGGCACCCGGAGCUCACACAUAAAUGGCGGCAGCAGCAGCAUUUAAAAUAUCUGUUUCAUUGCCUCGGUGAUUCUUAAUUAACACAAAGCAUCAGGGUUUCAUUGACACCAAUAAAAUGAGGUGACUGCGACCUUGAUUAAUAAAAUGUGUAAUCAUCUUGGAAAUAUCGGGAGUUAGAAACUUGUUAGAUAUUUCUUCUUGGUGAUUACAUUGGCCGGUAAUCAAUAAAAACAAAAUCUAAAUUGCAGAUUGCUCCAGUUCAAUCUCCGGGUUAUUAAAAACUUUAUUUCUUCUUAAAAAUAAAAUUGAAUAUACAUUUGUGACAGCUUAAGGAUUAGAGAGUAAGAUUAAAUAGCAUCUUUUAUUACUAUGUGAGGAGUAUUGAGUUGUCUGAUACUUCUCAAUAUCAAAUAAACAAGUUUCAGGCACAGGGGAAAGGAACGUUAGAAUGUUACUGAUAUGUUUCUAAAAUUCUACUUUUUCAAUUUCAGGGUCCAGAUCAAGAAGCAUAAACGAGGAAAUUGAAAAUCCCGCAUUGUUCUAUUUCCGAGUGAAAAGCUUUGACUCACCACUAGAGGGCACUAUUCACCCUCUCAUCUUUCUGAAGGUUUCAGCCCAGCAGGGCUCGUUUUCAAAUGAAAAUAACUGCAUUUACUAAGGUUUGUGAUUUGUUUAGAAAUAAAAAGAAGCACCCCCAUGAUUCUGGGCAGAUUUACCCCCCCUAAAGCUCCCGUUGAUUGUGAUGCAAAGUCUUUAACUGCAUCAAAUGUAAACUGGAAAAAUUUAGCAAAUUAGGAUUGCCUGUGCAACUAUACAUAAAAUACACUUCAUCACUAAUUUUUUAGGUUUACAAAAUAGACAAAUUAAGUACAAAAUUAAGAAACUUUAUGCUUCUCCUUUCAUGUUUUAUAGAAACAUGUUAUAUUGAUCACUAUGGUACCAUAUCUUUGUGGUGUUGCACACACAAAGCCAAGUAAUUCAUUGGUUUCUUUUCCUUAUUUUUCAGAAUUAUGAGUAUAUAAUUGAUCUCAUAAAGAUCCUGCUCAUUGCACUAAUUUUCUGGGGUUGGUCUUGUAUAUCCACAAAUCUGAGGUUUUACAACUCUGUUUAUCAGUAAUGUAUGUGGUAGAUGGUAUUGUUAUUUGAACAUUUUACUUCACCUUCUUCCUGGGAGAAAAUACUUCCCCAUUCCAUCAUGCUGAACUCGGUCAACGGAAUGUGAGAAGUAACUAUGCUGCUGCUGCU